CCUUGACAUGGGAAAGAAACAGGGAAAAGCAGUGUGAAGAGGCAAAGGCAGUAGAGGAAGAAGAGGGAGAAGACGCUAAACUUCCGGAUGGCUUGUCACUACCCUGUGAACAGCAAAGUAAAAGGCUAUUGCCCUGUUCAGUCUCUUCUCUAAGAUGCUGAAGUCCAUCCCUGUCAGACUCUUCGUUAUUACCACUUAACAACUUUCUGGCCACUUACUUGAGACUGAAUAGUGUCCUCUUGUUAAUAAACUCUGAAAUAUCAUCACUGU
rnacentral:lncRNA from 11 species